rnacentral:rRNA from 1 species
CAGUCGCCGCGGUAAUACGAACCGUGCGAGCGUUAUUCGGAAUCACUGGGCUUAAAGCGCGUGUAGGCGGGAGGGCACGUCCGUCGCUGAAAUCCCCCGGCUCAACCGGGGAACGGGCGCGGAUACGACUCUUCUGGAGGAACGUAGGGGGACCUGGAACUUCCGGUGGAGCGGUGAAAUGCGUUGAGAUCGGAAGGAACGCCCGUGGCGAAAGCGAGGUCCUGGACGUUCACUGACGCUGAGACGCGAAAGCCAGGGGAGCGAACGGGAUUAGAUACCCCUGUAGUCCCUGUCUCUUAUA